CAGACGUUAAGUGGGUUGUUUCACGUAGGACGGUCAAAAGGAGAUUGCGUGAUCGACGAAUCGCUCGAUUCCGUACCGAUCUCUUUUGUUUAUAUAGUGUUGCUUCGAGGAGAGGGAGAACCGGUGAGAGACAACAGACGUGAAAGAAAGACGAAGACACGUUUAUUAUAGCGUUCCUCCUGAAGGCUCGAAGCGCAGUACGCGUCGUGGUAUCGAUUCGUGGACCAUGCGAUUCAUUUUUGUAAUCGAUCGAUCAUCGAAUUUGUGACUUUAUGAGUGAAUAGGCCGCCUUCUAAACGGUGUACCAUCGAUAUUGGUUCGAGAGUGAGGAAAACGAGUUGAAUUCGCGAAACGUGCAAGUCCUUUGAGUUACCGGAAUCCGCUUGCAAAGAAGAAAUAUCUUAAAGUCGCAAUUGGACGCCAGUCGUUGAAACAUUUAUUUUAGACCAAGAUUUUUCGGAUCCCGAAGGAAUUGUAAUUCUGCUGGAACAUCGAAAGUGACUCGUUUAACGGUGAUUCGUAUGUACAAAUAUAAAACUGUAUAUUUUAUGGCGUCACGGUGACAUAAUACCUGAGUAAGAACGCAAAUAACACCGAUACAACAGUCAGUGAAGCUGCGUCACUGAAGGAGAUCGAAAAGGAAAGUGCAUGAGUGCAUCUGCAGUAGUUGUUUAUUGUGUGAUCUAGUAGUGGCUCAUUUCCACAAAAUCACGGAAAAAUGUUCAUCGAUUGUAUACCCUCCUGGCUCGGUUUCCUGAAAUGUAAUUCGGGCUCGCCGGAAACUCCAAAGGUCUAUGGGUUGAGCUUCAAAGAGGACGUCCGAGUUGUUGGCUGGAUUUACGAUGUCCCCUCAGAAAGGGCAACCGACUGUAAAGGGUUAAAUGAUGCAUUUGUGGUUCUUGCGGUUCUGAAACUCAGCUUCAGCUUUGCCCUGAGAAGGUUGCUCGGAUUCUCGCCGGAACUGGGACAACGGGUGCAUUUCGCUGAGGGCACGAACUUACGGUGCAGGGAAGAUAAGAAAUCGCCGACCGAUGAUGAUUCGGAGGAAAGGUUGGCAAACCGGGGAGGACCG